rnacentral:rRNA from 1 species
CCCUUAGAUGUCCUGGGCUGCACGCGCGCUACACUGAUGUGUCCAGUAAGCACCUAACCUAUUCCGAGAGGAGCGGGUAACCUUAGCAAAGCACAUCGUGAUGGGGAUAGAUUAUUGCAAUUAUUAGUCUUGAACGAGGAAUUCCUAGUAAGUACAAGUCAUCAGCUUGUGUUGAUUACGUCCCUGCCCUUUGUACACACCGCCCGUCGCUCCUACCGAUUGAAUGUUCCGGUGAGCUCUUCGGACUGCGCGGUCUGCAGUUUCUGCGUUCCGUGCGGAAAGUUGUGCAAACCUUAACAUUUAGAGGAAGGAGAAGUCGUAACA